rnacentral:rRNA from 1 species
CCCUUAGAUGUUCUGGGCCGCACGCGUGCUACACUGAGUGGAUCAGCGGGUCAGGUUGCGCGAAAGCGUUUCCUAAUCUUUAAAUCCGCUCGUGAUGGGGAUUGACGGUUGCAAUUUUCUGUCAUGAACGAGGAAUACCUUGUAAGCGCGGGUCAUCAUCCCGCGCUGAAUACGUCCCUGCCCUUUGUACACACCGCCCGUCGCUACUACCGAUUGAACGGUUUAGUGAGGGCCUCGGAUUGGCCUCGGCCCGCUCUUUACCGGGCGGCGCCGUUGGUCGAGAAGACGCUCGAACUUGAUCGUUUAGAGGAAGUAAAAGUCGUAACA